AGUGAACGCUGGCGGUAGGCCUAACACAUGCAAGUCGAACGGCAGCACAGUAAGAGCUUGCUCUUACGGGUGGCGAGUGGCGGACGGGUGAGGAAUACAUCGGAAUCUACUUUUCGUGGGGGAUAACGUAGGGAAACUUACGCUAAUACCGCAUACGACCUACGGGUGAAAGCAGGGGAUCGUCGGACCUUGCGCGAUUGAAUGAGCCGAUGUCGGAUUAGCUAGUUGGCGGGGUAAAGGCCCACCAAGGCGACGAUCCGUAGCUGGUCUGAGAGGAUGAUCAGCCACACUGGAACUGAGACACGGUCCAGACUCCUACGGGAGGCAGCAGUGGGGAAUAUUGGACAAUGGGCGCAAGCCUGAUCCAGCCAUACCGCGUGAGUGAAGAAGGCCUUCGGGUUGUAAAGCCCUUUUGUUGGGAAAGAAAAGCAGCAGGUUAAUACCCCGCUGUUCUGACGGUACCCAAAGAAUAAGCACCGGCUAACUUCGUG
rnacentral:rRNA from 1 species